ACUCCUACGGGAGGCAGCAGUGGGGAAUAUUGCACAAUGGGCGCAAGCCUGAUGCAGCCAUGCCGCGUGUAUGAAGAAGGCCUUCGGGUUGUAAAGUACUUUCAGCAGUGAGGAAGGUGGUGUCGUUAAUAGCGGCAUCAUUUGACGUUAGCUGCAGAAGAAGCACCGGCUAACUCCGUGCCAGCAGCCGCGGUAAUACGGAGGGUGCGAGCGUUAAUCGGAAUUACUGGGCUAAAGCGCAUGCAGGUGGUUUGUUAAGUCAGAUGUGAAAGCCCGGGGCUCAACCUCGGAAUUGCAUUUGAAACUGGCAGACUAGAGUACUGUAGAGGGGGGUAGAAUUUCAGGUGUAGCGGUGAAAUGCGUAGAGAUCUGAAGGAAUACCGGUGGCGAAGGCGGCCCCCUGGACAGAUACUGACACUCAGAUGCGAAAGCGUGGGGAGCAAACAGGAUUAGAUA
rnacentral:rRNA from 1 species